AUAUAUAGAGAGAAAGAACCACAAACUUGAAGAUGGAUAUCAGCUACAGACUUUCCUGAGUCAGAUCUCACCUAAGAAAAUAAACACAUGCUAUGUCAGAGAAGCCUCAGGGCUUCCACACCUGCUCAAAAAGGGAGUUCAGCUUCAGCAGCUGACCCAGGACUCUGUUCCCCUUUGGUGAGAAGGGUUUUUGUUCAGCAAGACAACGGGGAGCUCUCACUGUGGUGGACGUUCGGCCAAGGGACCAAGUUGGAAAUCAAACGAGCUGUGGCUGCACCAUCUGUCUUCAUCUUCCCGCCAUCUGAGGAGCAGUUGAAAUCUGGAACUGCCUCUGUUGUGUGCCUACUGAAUAACUUCUAUCCCAGAGAGGUCAACGUAAAGUGGAAGGUGGAUAAUGUCGUCCAGUCGGGUAACUCCCAGGAGAGUGCCACAGAGCAGGACAGCAAGGACAACACCUACAGCCUCAGCAGCACCCUGACGCUGAGCAACACAGAGUUCCAGAAACACAAAGUCUAUGCCUGCGAAGUCACCCAUCAGGGCCUGAGCUCGCCCGUCACCAAGAGCUUCAAUAGGGGAGAGUGUUAGAGGGAGAAGUGCCCCAGGCCCCCCACCUGCUCCUCAGUCCCAGCCUCACCCCCUCCCAUCCUUUGGCCUCUGACCCUUUUUCCACAGGGGACCUACCCCUAUUUCGGUCCUCCAGCUCAUCUUUCACCUCACCCCCCUCCUCCUCCUUGGCUUUAAUUAUGCUAAUGUUGGAGGAGAAUGAAUAAAUAAAGUGAAUCUUUGCACCUGU